rnacentral:rRNA from 1 species
UACGUAGGGGGCGAGCGUUGUCCGGAAUCAUUGGGCGUAAAGCGCGUGUAGGCGGCUCGGUAAGUCUGCUGUGAAAGUCCAGGGCUCAACCCUGGGAUGCCGGUGGAUACUGUCGAGCCCGAGUCCGGAAGAGGCGAGUGGAAUUCCUGGUGUAGCGGUGAAAUGCGCAGAUAUCAGGAGGAACACCAAUGGCGAAGGCAGCUCGCUGGGACGUGACUGACGCUGAGACGCGAAAGCGUGGGGAGCAAACAGG